rnacentral:rRNA from 1 species
AACGAACGCUGGCGGCAUGCCUAACACAUGCAAGUCGAACGAGACCUUCGGGUCUAGUGGCGCACGGGUGCGUAACGCGUGGGAACCUGCCCUUAGGUUCGGAAUAACUCCCCGAAAGGGGUGCUAAUACCGGAUAAUGUCUUCGGACCAAAGAUUUAUCGCCUUUGGAUGGGCCCGCGUUGGAUUAGCUAGUUGGUAGGGUAAAAGCCUACCAAGGCGACGAUCCAUAGCUGGUCUGAGAGGAUGAUCAGCCACACUGGGACUGAGACACGGCCCAGACUCCUACGGGAAGCAGCAGUGGGGAAUAUUGGAAAAUGGGGGGAGGCAUGAUGCAGCAAUGCCGGGUGAGUGAUGAAGGCCUUAGAGUUGUAAAGCUCUUUUACCCGGGAUGAUAAUGACAGUACCGAGAGAAUAAGCUACGGCUAACUCCGUG